UACGUAGGGGGCUAGCGUUGUCCGGAAUCAUUGGGCGUAAAGAGCGUGUAGGCGGCCCGAUAAGUCCGCUGUGAAAGUCCAGGGCUCAACCCUGGAAUGCCGGUGGAUACUGUCGGGCUCGAGUCCGGAAGAGGCGAGUGGAAUUCCUGGUGUAGCGGUGAAAUGCGCAGAUAUCAGGAGGAACACCAAUGGCGAAGGCAGCUCGCUGGGACGUGACUGACGCUGAGACGCGAAAGCGUGGGGAGCAAACAGG
rnacentral:rRNA from 1 species